AACUACAGAUGCUACAAAUUGUUUUUGUAUGUACUUCUCAAUGGCAAGAGCUGCCGCAGGCGUUGACGGCGGAGGUGUCACCAUCAAAACCAUUAGAAACAACACCACCAAGUCAAUGAUGCAAGUGGAAGUUUUGCCAUGCAAUAGUCGACCGCUGAUGCCCUUCUCCAUCAAUUGUGUAAGUACGUAUCGAAACAUUCAUAUCGUAGUCAACUAGCUUAAUCUUCAUCUUCUAGGUGUAACUGCUUGAACAGAAUGGUGUAGCUGUAGCUGUUGCCUGUAGCACUGUCAAAGUUAAAAGAUACGAAAAUAGUAUACAUCGACACAAUGAGAAGCUGUAGCUGUAGCAGUAGCUGCAGCGCAAGUUGACUCAACUUUAACUUUUGGCGACGCUGCAAGCUACAUUUGAGAUGACAGAUGGGGGAAACCCAUUUCAUUUUUUGACUUUUCACUUUUUUUUUGGGAGCGUUCAAUGCAUUUGAGAAUUUUUUCUGGUUUUGUAACUUUUUUAUAGUAUGCUACCAUACAAAUUCAGUUCAAAUAUAAAUUUCAUAUGCGUUGAACAUGCCCGCUGCGCUACACCAUUGUGGGCGACCUUUGCUACAUUAGUGAGCGUUUUAUUGACAGCUUAUACUACAGCGAUUUUCUUAGAAUACAAUCGCAGGAAUACUCAAAAAUUGUCCAACCUUGACUGUAAGAGAGUUCAAAUUUUAAAUCUACAACGAAUCCAUUUAUUUUGCUCCUAAGAAUAGCACUGGCUUAACGGUGGCAAUCAUUCGGAGGCAAAUGAGCUGGCCCGACAAGAAUCCCCAAGAAGCCAAACAGAUUCAGAUCAGUCUCUCGGCAGCUACUGACGAUGUCGGCGAGUGGAAUCCAUCGAUUUGCACACAGAAAAUCAACAUCAAAAAAAUCACGACAAUUUAGCAGCGUCAUGGUCAACCUGCCGAUCAACUAUUCACAGUGAAUAACCUCCAUUCGCAGCGGAAGCGAUCUCUGCGUUGUCGACAAUGCGAAAACAAUGUCAUCAAGCCGGAGUACCAUCCAGGAUCGAUCAAGUAUCGCAUUCAAUUGCUUGCUAACUACCAUGUGCCCAACGUUCUGCUUGUGCGUUGUGAAAAGCCACUGAAGCCUGGCACGUCCACUGAAUUGAUCCUUAAGCUAACUAACCCAACGAUGUACCAUAUGGCCACAACCAUUAUGAAACUGCCAACCAAGGAAGAGCAACGGCGAAUGAUCGACUUCGAAUAAAAGUUCAACGAAAGGAACCAAAUUUCACCUUGAAGAAAGUCCAAUAAAGUAACAAUCAAAUUGAACUUCACACCUGAAGAAGGACUGAAACCAGGCGAUGAUGUUACCCUUAGUUUCUUGAUGAAAUAUACUUUUGUGAAAACAUACACACGCCCGAAAAGAAAGCAAAAACACGCAUUAUCAUCGAAAGUUUUUGUAAAAGUUGGUCAAUUGAAGCCUAAAUUUAUUUCUAUGUAUAUCUAGAAAUUAAUCUUUUUUGCAAACAACUUGUUUAUUUAUUUUGAGCUAUAGUGUAAAUUUUGUAUAUAUUGUAUAUUCUA